UAUUAGCUUUUGGGGAUGUUUAAUCAAGAAUUUAUGGAAAAGUCUGCUCCUGUAUCUUUUAAUCAGGAUGUGACGUGAUGAGCUCUGCAGAUACUGAGGCUGAAGCCUCAACACACAACAUGCAGACCCAUCUGGAUGAAACUGACCCAUCUAAUGACCAACUGCUGGGUGAGUAGAGCAAAUGAACACUAGAUAUCAUGAAGAACCAAAAGUUAAACUUUUAAAAAUGUCAAGAUAGGAUUUAACAUAACAAUAUCAGCACCUCCUCCUCCAAGAAACAUCUUUAGCCUUCAUCAACUAAUACUACAUAAUAUUGCAUACAUAAUCCCAAAUAUCUAACUUACAUCAGGAUUUAAUGACUGAUUCUGUCUCUUGCAUGAAAAGAUGUGGAAAAGAACUCAAAUGGCAAAGCAGUUUGGAACACCAUUAAAGGUCUGAUGGUAGAUCUGCUUUAUGAUGUCCAGAGAACAGUUGACCAGAGUCUCGGUGAGUAAAAGAAACAUAGAUAUUAAGAACAUUAGAAGCUAUACAGUUGCUAAGUCUUUCAAAAUCUGAAGCAGGAAAUGAGUCGCACAAGGACGCUGACAUAGAAGUUGAGAAUGAUGACAUAAACAAACUGACGGACACUCAGCUGGACGACACAAAGACUACUUUCAAUCAAGCCCUUGGAAAAGACGGGAAUGACAGUUGAUCCUGUACCCAUUAAAAGUUGGGCUGAUAUGGUGGAUAAGACUGAAGGAAACAUCAACCAGACUGCUGAAAUUGAAGCAUUGAAGAAAGACACUCCUGAGAAUGAGACCAAAAGAGAUAAAAAAAGAAGAACACCAGGAGAGGAACAUGCGGCAAGGGUCGAAAAAUAAAUUACAAAAAGGACCAAGAAGAAAAAAAAUCAUGUAGAUGAAGAGAACAGCAUGACACCAUCAAAAGACAGAGGCAUCACAUCAGUGGAGACAUGAACUAGGAUAUGGAAUGAGAAGAACACAGACAGAGAACUCAGCACCUGAAACUGAUCCUCAUCAGCAGAGGAGGGCACAGAGAAAGGAGGCGAGGCGAGAAACAUAUCAUUGGACAAGAGAACAUCUGUAGAAGAUCCUACAAGCCCCUCCUGAGGAAAAGAGUGCUCCACAGAAAGACAUCAGUUAGAAGGGAGAAGUGACUACGGCUAAAAUCAGGCAGAGAGACAGAGGAACCCAUUCGGUCGGACGCAGAACUGAUGACUAUGGCUGGAGAUGAGCUGCCCAGUGCUGGAAGACAGAAUCCAGAUUCCAGAGGAGAGACGCUCCACAAACUCCUUCAUGCAACGGAGGAUGUGUGAGCGAAAGAAGAAUGAGAGGAAAUCCUGCUCAGUCUGCUCCUGCAUGCACACAUUGACAGAAAUGACUGGACACUGAAAACACCACACUGGUGGCAGCAUGAUGACCGCUCUGCAUGAUGACCCUGAUGAAAUACAGACUGCAGAGAGACACCAGAAUAAGAAAUGGAGGAAUGGAAACAGGCAGUGGAAGAGUGGGAGAAGAACUGAUGCUUAAUACUGACCACUGAAGAAAACCUUUAGAGCAGCCUGAGAAUUAAGUCAGUGGAGACAUCAGCAAGGAUUUGGAAAAAGAAGAACAGUCAGAGAACUCAGGAACCUGUGAAAGAGCACCUGAAACUGAUCCUCAUCAAUAGAGGAGGGCACAGAGAAAGGAGGAUAGGAGACAAAUACGUUAUUUGAAAGCAGGACAUCUGCAACCUCUCCUGAGGAAAAGAGUGCUCCACAAAAUGACUGCAGAAAGAACAGAGAAGAACACAGCUAGAGAAGUCCAAAAUCUGUGAAAGAGCACCUGGAACUGUUCCUCAUCAGCAGAGAAGAAUAUCCCUCCUGAGGAAAAGAGUGCUCCACAGAACGACUGCAGAAAAAACAGAGAAGAACACAGCUAGAGAACUCCCGAACCUGUGAAAGAGCACCUGAAACUGAUCCUCAUCAGCAGAGGAGAACAUCCCUCCUGAGGAAAAGAGUGCUCCACAGAGAGCCAUAAUCAUCACUCCACAGAGCUGAUACAGACUUUUAACUCUACUUUUAUGCUACAGCCAAUCAAAUACAUCUCUUGGACAGCAGCCCCACUGGAGUGAAAUAAGCAGUACAACACUUUUCAACCUCUAAAACCAAUAAAAGUCUUUCAGAAGACUCUUUUGGAGCCUUUCAUUAGUCAGGGUUUUGCUUUUCUAACGCAGUUUCAGCCAUUUUAUUGAAUAAUCUGAAGGCUGCAAUCAAUUCAGUGGAAAGUGUAAACUAGUGCCUACAAAGCGCAGUUACAGUACACAGAGUACUAAGUGGAU
ensembl:lncRNA